rnacentral:rRNA from 1 species
UACGAAGGGGGCUAGCGUUGUUCGGAAUUACUGGGCGUAAAGCGCACGUAGGCGGAUUGGCAAGUUAGGGGUGAAAUCCCGGGGCUCAACCCCGGAACUGCCUUUAAAACUGCCGGUCUAGAGUUCGAGAGAGGUGAGUGGAAUUCCGAGUGUAGAGGUGAAAUUCGUAGAUAUUCGGAGGAACACCAGUGGCGAAGGCGGCUCACUGGCUCGAUACUGACGCUGAGGUGCGAAAGCGUGGGGAGCAAACAGG